UAUUAUUGGCGCAUGUGUCGUAAACACACGUCACAGAUGUCCUAUAAAAGAGUGCACUUGCAAAAAGUGCCCGCAAUAGUUCGUGAGCGACAGACGCUGACAGUAGGCCCAAGAUUUUGUACGAAAAGCUUUGCGAUCGUCGAAGUUACUAUAUUAUUAUAUACACACGUACCCCGUGCAAAAUACUUACACGACAACAUAUAGAUAUAAUUACAGGAAAAAUCAAAUCUGACAUAUAAGAAAAAUGAGGGUUUUUAUUCUGACCAUUUUCGUUAUGAUUGCUGUGGUACUAGCUGCUGCUCAGGGAGAAAAAGCGAAGUGCAGUCCUAUAGGUAAAGCUUGCAUAACUUAUUCCGAUUGCUGUCGUCAUUUAGAUUGUUUGUUUUAUGCUCAUAAAUGCGUGUCAAGACCAGGUCCGCCCGAUCCCAACGAUAAAAGACCUGUUGGUCCGAACUAAUUUGAUUGAACAAUAAGAAAGAUUCUUCCGUAAAUAACAAGUAUGUUCUUUUCUUUUUUAAUAUAUAAAUGCGCGCACAAGAUGUAACGUAUAUUAUAAUAAAAAAAAAAUGUCAUGUUACAUUCACACGUACACACGCACACUUGAAAUAAAGAACAUAUAAAAACUUUACAUAUUGUUCGUUUACUGUACAUGUAUUGUACUGCCACUACAGGUUUAUUUAGUCAUUUAUUAAUAUGAUCGUAACACAAUAAUUAUCAUUCUAUUAUUAUCGUAUCGUGAUAGCGUAUAUACAAUAUCCUCGCUGUUUCGACUGUAUUUAUUCUGUAUAUGUUUGUAAUACACAUGUGUAUAAACUGACGUAAAUAUCAACCAACAAAAUAGAAAAGUUUUUUAAGUUAAA